AAACAUUAGGGCAGGAAAAACUAUUCCUCCAGAGAAGAUGACGGCUUGGAUGGCCUAGAAUUCUCUCCUGGCUUCAGACCGCAGGGAUGCAGCUGUUCCAAUGCUCUACACAUUUUAAGGAACUGGGGAGUGAAAAACCUGGACUGGUUUAGGGCACAGAUGUGCCUGGAAGCGCUUGGGAAAGAUGAACCCUGCAAGACCUUCACUGCGGGCCCACAUGAUUUCUUGAGACCAUGCGAAAUGAACCCAUCCGCAUGGCAGCCAGAGGCGGUGCUGCUCCUGAGGGAAGAAGAGGUGGCUUGGUUUUAGUUGCUGGGAAACAAGCCAAUCCAACUGAAGAUUUCAUUUCAGAAGCGGUUCAGAGAGACCAGGUCCUCAUGUGCUCCUUGAAAGAUCUUGGUUCUCUAUGUCCAGCACAGCCCGUGUUGCUUAGCUUGUGCUGAACAACUUGAAAUCAGAAAAGAAAAACAAAUUCCUCAGAGUCCUCCAUUUUCUCAGCCUGCUCUGCUGCUCUCUGGUGAAACCUUCAGCUUGGAAAGAGUCCAUGUGCAUAAAUAAAGGUGAUCAAGAAAUCAAACUUCAUCUUCUUAAGUUCAAAUAUAGACAAGACUUUUAUUUUUAUUUUUUUAUUUUGUUUUGGUCCUUCCCAGAUUCACUUACUUCAUUUGUGUAUACUGUUUCAAGACUGGCUUAGAGGUCUAGAGAGAUGGUUCAAAAGCUAAGAGCAACUCAGGUUGGAUUCUCAGAACACACAUGCCCCCCCCCCCCCAUUUUCUGUAACUCCAGUUCCAGGGAACCUGACGCCCUCUUCUGGCCGCUGUGGGCAUCACACAUGCAUGUGGUAUAGGAUCCACGCACAUAAAAUAAAAAAUAAAUAAAAUUUCAAAACCUGGA